ACGGCCACAUGACAUUCAAACAUUGGUUCCAGUAUGAUCACCGAAGUUAAGCAACCAUCAGCCUGGUCAUUACCUCGAUGGGUGACCACCUGGGAAUAGUAGGUGAUGUAAG